GGUUUCGUGGUGUAGUUGGUUAUCACGUCAGUCUAACAAGGUCUCCGGUUCGAACCCGGGCGAAGCCA
rnacentral:tRNA from 1 species